rnacentral:rRNA from 1 species
AAAAGUGAAAGACGGUCUUGCUGUCACUUAUAGAUGGAUCCGCGCUGCAUUAGCUAGUUGGUAAGGUAACGGCUUACCAAGGCAACGAUGCAUAGCCGACCUGAGAGGGUGAUCGGCCACACUGGAACUGAGACACGGUCCAGACUCCUACGGGAGGCAGCAGUAGGGAAUCUUCCGCAAUGGGCGAAAGCCUGACGGAGCAACGCCGCGUGAGUGAUGAAGGUCUUCGGAUCGUAAAACUCUGUUAUUAGGGAAGAACAUAUGUGUAAGUAACUGUGCACAUCUUGACGGUACCUAAUCAGAAAGCCACGGCUAACUACGUGCCAGCAGCCGCGGUAAUACGUAGGUGGCAAGCGUUAUCCGGAAUUAUUGGGCGUAAAGCGCGCGUAGGCGGUUUUUUAAGUCUGAUGUGAAAGCCCACGGCUCAACCGUGGAGGGUCAUUGGAAACUGGAAAACUUGAGUGCAGAAGAGGAAAGUGGAAUUCCAUGUGUAGCGGUGAAAUGCGCAGAGAUAUGGAGGAACACCAGUGGCGAAGGCGACUUUCUGGUCUGUAACUGACGCUGAUGUGCGAAAGCGUGGGGAUCAAACAGGAUUAGAUACCCUGGUAGUCCACGCCGUAAACGAUGAGUGCUAAGUGUUAGGGGGUUUCCGCCCCUUAGUGCUGCAGCUAACGCAUUAAGCACUCCGC